CCCAGAAGCAAGGGCCCAUGCCCAACAGAGAAAUCCACAUCUGCUUGGAAUAUCGUAUUACUAAUUAAAUUUUAGGGUCUAUAUUGAGAUAAACCAAUUUCCUCUAACCCGUAAACCCUAAUCCUAGCUCUUAUAAAAAUCUGACCUUCUCACCAUUGGCUUGCCGCCCUCAUGCAGAUGCAGUCCAUCGUUCACCCUCUCUCUUCCUCUCUCCCUCUAAAUAGCCUCUCCUUUUUCGAUUGUUCAGAAGGGUUUCAAUUUUUAUAUCGAUGAUGAUAAAUGCAUUAUCCCAGCUCAUUAUGAGGCCUUUGUCUGUCAAAGUUUUGUUUAAGACAAUGUUAUAGUGCAUUUUGUGGUGGAGAUGUACCUGUAUUCACUUGUAACGUCAAUGGUAUGUUUUCAAAAUCUCUUCUUAGUAUAAAACUAUGCAUACUAGCUUACAUAGUUUAAGAGGAUUUCUCACUUAAAAUUGUUUAGUACUUGGUGAAUUCUUAUAGGUGUUUAAUAAAUUAUUUUCGUGUAAUGGUGCACGGCUACACUUGUAAUACUUAUAAUUUGACGAGGAUUUCUAAAAGAAGUCCAAUACUUGACGGGAGCAAACCACUUAUGUUUGUAUAUUCCAAAGUAAUCGUCAUAAAUAAAUGCCAUGAGAUGUUGAUGGUCCACCUUCACAGGAGCUCCUCCAUCUCUAGGCAGGUCUCAUAUUCCAUCGCCUUGUGGAGUGGCGUUGCUGCUUUUACCACUUGGGACUGGCCAUGAGACAUACAUUCAUUGUAUAUUUUAAGUGCUGAUCUCAUCUGUGCAUUGCAUUUACAUGUUAAGUUGGUUUUCAAGUUAUUUUACAGUUCAAUUGUUUGUUAUUUUGAAUGUUAAAUAUUGAUAUUCUCAUUUCUAGAUUUAAUCUCUCAUAAAUUGGCUCUGUUCUAUUGUGUGGACGGUAUGCUUUAUUAACUAUUCCAAUGAUUUGACGGGGGUUUCUUUAAGAAGUCCAUUACUUGACUGGGGCAAACCAGUUAUGUUUGUAGAUUCCAAAGUAACCGUCAUAAAUAAAUUCCCUGGAUGUUGAUGGUCCUCCUUAAGGAGUUCCUCCAUCUGUGGGCAGGUCUCAUAUUCCAUUGCCUUAUGGAGUGGCGUUGCUACUUUUACCAUUUGGGACUGGCCAUGAGACAUACAUUUCAUAUGUCAUCACAUAAGAGUUUGAUUUUCCAUAUUACCAAAUUUAUUUCUUAAAUUUUUGCUGGUAUUGACUUCUUUUACUUUGCAAAUCAUUUUGUAUCUUUGUGCCUGUGACCGGGUAUUACUCAAAUGCCUUACUUUAUCGGGGCAAACUAGUUAUGUUUGUACAUUCCAAAGUAAACCUCACAGAUAAAUUUCCAUUGAUGUUCAUGGUUUUCCCUUUGGGAGUUCAUUGAUGAUCUCAUAUUCCAUCGCCUUGUGGAGCGGUGUUGUUGUGUUUACCAUUUGGGACUGGCCAUGAACAGACACAUUCUGUUAUUUUUCCUUAAUUGUUUGUGUAUGAAAUUGGGCCGAUGAGGAAAUCAUUCAUGUAAUACACCAUCUUUCGGGACUGAAUGGCUUGUUUAGCCUUGCUGACAUUCUGCAAUUCUGAGGCCCCACACUUGCUUUGCUUUUCUUGUAUUUGAUUUACUCCUUGCAUCUAGGACUGCAAAUAAGAUCAUUUUGCAUUUUUUUUCUCAGUUUUUUGGUGUUGAGAAAUGUGGCCUAGGAGGAUAUCAUUCACAAAAUACCAUCUUUCGGGACUGAGUGGUAUUUAAGCCUUGCUGAAAUUCUGCAAUUCUGAGGCCUUAAUGUUAUUUAUAUGACUUUUCUGGUUGAAGGGCUUUAAACCUGCCUAAAAUGAAUACCAACAAAAUAUGUUACUUUUAUUCUUUUAAUAAUUCAAUAUUUUAAUAAAUCUCAAUCUGUUGACACUUAAUUAAUUUACUCUUCCCUGAGUCUUUUCCAAAUUUUUAGGAUCGUGUAAUGUCCUGCAUUUUGUUCUCAUCAUGGUCAAAGGGGUAGCAAAUCCAGCUUAUUGUUUCUAUAUGGCUUUUUUUAGACCCUAAUAGUUGUAUUAACUAGAGUUUCAAAUAAAUGAUUGAUAGGCUUGUCCAAGCUGAAUUUUCAGUUCAGUGUCUUGGUUUGGAUUUUGAAACUGUUUAUUCAGUUGAUUACAUAUUUAUACCCUCAAACUAGCUUUCAGGUCAAAGCUUCAGUUUGAGCUCAAGUUGGUAAAUUUUGGAUUUGAUCAGAGUUUGAGUUAUUAUUUAUUUUGGCUUUAAUCUGGCCAAGCUGGUAUGAGUGUCAACAAUUUCCAUGAAUUUAAAGCACUUGACCUCCUAAAAGCUGUUUUUCAAAUCUUUUUUUCCAUGGAUUUAGAUUAUGUAGGAUGUUUUUCUUCCAUUGAUGCAACGUAGAGUGCUUCCUUUGAUACUGUAUUUUUCCUUUUACAUAUCAUGGUUGUAAAUUCCUUGUGAAACACAUAUUGUCAACGUCGAGCAUGGAAUGCAAAAUUUAUUUAAUCUA